AAUCGCAAGUAACGUACACACAGGCUAAACCUAACCCUAAACCUAACCCUAACCCCUUCAGGGCAGGCAAACACAUCUGUCCAGGCUUUUAGAAGCAAAUGUCCCAAUGAAGCAGGGCUGGGAAAAAUGCUGGUUGGAUACAACAGAAUAAGACCUGUGUACUGUAAAUACAGCCUAUGUACAUAGCGUGUUUUAACGUUUCCAGUCUGGUUUUCAGUACAAACACGACUCACCCUUAACUCACAGACCCAGCCUUUACACUAACUUAGGUUUUAACCUUUAUCAGAGCGCAACAAAAAACGCAGGCACACCUAACUGUCAGGAAGAUCCCGAUGAUAUCUGCGAUAUUUCUUGGGUUUCCAUGGCUAUUGUAGUUUCUAUCUCUGGCUACUGCUAAGGGUCUAAUUGACUGCAAAAUAAUGGAGUCUCUCCUAGGAAGCACAGGGCACCAGGCAGUCCAUUAUGAGGGACAUGCUGACCUACACCAUCAUAUCAGAACGAAAUAUUAGGGAAAGAAAUACCAGGGAAUAUUUACCAGAAACGACACCCACAGUGGACUUCCUAUCUGUCAGUGGACUUCCUGUCUGUCAGUGGACGUGCCUCACAGUGGAUCUGCAGCCAGACCCUUCUUCUGAGGAUCAGCCCCUUUGUUAUGUCAGUUCCACUAGUGGCCAGCAGAU